rnacentral:rRNA from 1 species
UACGAAGGGAGCUAGCGUUGUUCGGAAUUACUGGGCGUAAAGCGCGCGUAGGUGGUCAUACAAGUCAGAGGUGAAAUCCCACGGCUCAACCGUGGAACUGCCUUUGAAACUGUAUGGCUUGAGUUCGGAAGAGGAGAGUGGAAUUCCUAAUGUAGAGGUGAAAUUCGUAGAUAUUAGGAGGAACACCAGUGGCGAAGGCGGCUCUCUGGUCCGAUACUGACACUGAGGCGCGAAAGCGUGGGUAGCAAAC